rnacentral:rRNA from 1 species
AGUGAACGCCGGCGGUAGGCCUAACACAUGCGAGUCGAACGGCAGCACAGGAGAGCUUGCUCUCUGGGUGGCGAGUGGCGGACGGGUGAGGAAUACAUCGGAAUCUAGUUUUUCGUGGGGGAUAACGGAGGGAAACUUACGCUAAUACCGCAUACGACCUACGGGUAAAAGCAGGGGACCUUCGGGCCUUGCGCGAUUGAAUGAGCCGAUGUCGGAUUAGCUAGUUGGCGGGGUAAAGGCCCACCAAGGCGACGAUCCGUAGCUGGUCUGAGAGGAUGAUCAGCCACACUGGAACUGAGACACGGUCCAGACUCCUACGGGAGGCAGCAGUGGGGAAUAUUGGACAAUGGGCGCAAGCCUGAUCCAGCCAUACCGCGUGGGUGAAGAAGGCCUUCGGGCUGUAAAGCCCUUUUGUUGGGAAAGAAAUCCAGCUGGCUAAUACCCGGUUGGGAUGACGGUACCCAAAGAAUAAGCACCGGCUAACUUCGUGCCAGCAGCCGCAGUAA